rnacentral:rRNA from 1 species
UCCGGUUGAUCCUGCCGGAGGCUACUGCUAUUGGAAUUCGACUAAGCCAUGCGAGUCAAGGUGUCUUCGGACGCCGGCAUACGGCUCAGUAACACGUAGGUAACCUACCCUCAGGACUGAGAUAACCCCGGGAAACUGGGGCUAAUAUUAGAUAGAUAAAAGAUACUGGAAUGUUCUUUUAUCCAAAGCUUUUGCGCCUGAGGAUGGGCCUGCGCCCGAUUAGGUUGUUGGUGGGGUAAUGGCCCACCAAGCCUACGAUCGGUACGGGCAGUGGGAGCUGAAGCCCGGAGUUGGGGACUGAGACAAGGCCCCAGGCCCUACGGGGCGCAGCAGGCGCGAAACCUCUGCAAUGCGGGAAACCGUGACAGGGGGAUUCCAAGUGCUCAUGCAUUGCAUGGGCUGUUCUUUGGUCUAAGUAACCAGAGGAGUAAGGGCUGGGCAAGACCGGUGCCAGCCGCCGCGGUAAUACCGGCAGCUCAAGUGGUAGCCGCGAUUAUUGGGCCUAAAACGUUCGUAGCCGGAUAAGUAAGUCUUUGGUUAAAUCCUGCGACUUAACCGUGGGAAAUCUAGAGAUACUGCUUGUCUUGAGACCGGGAGAGGUUGGAGGUACUCCCAGGGUAGGGGUGAAAUCCUGUAAUCCUGGGGGGACCACCUGUGGCGAAGGCGUCCAACUGGAACGGGUCUGACGGUGAGGGACGAAACCUAGGGGAGCGAGCCGGACUAGAUACCCGGGUAGUCCUAGGCGUAAAUGAUGCGAGUUAAGUGUGGGGGCAUCCACGAGAUGGCCCUGUGCUGUAGGGUAGCCGUUAAACUCGCUGCCUGGGGAGUACGGUCGCAAGGCUGAAACUUAAAGGAGUUGGCGGGGGAGCACCACAAGAGGUGGAGGCUGCGGUUCAAUUGGAUUCAACGCCGGG